ensembl:snRNA U2 U2 spliceosomal RNA
AUUAUUUUUAAUCAUUAUCUAAUAAACUUUUAAAUCUGUUCUUAUCAGUUUAAUAUCUGAUAUGCCCUCUAUCUGAGGACUAUAUAUUAAAUGGAUUUUUGGAACAGGGAGAUGGAAUAGGAGCUUGCUCCAUCCACUCCACGCAAGACCUUGUAUUGCAGUACCUCCAGGAAUGGUGCACCGCCC